rnacentral:misc_RNA from 1 species
GAACGCACAUUGCGCCCUUUGGUAUUCCGAAGGGCAUGCCUGUUCGAGCGUCAUUAUCACCCCUCAAGCCCCCGGCUUGGUGUUGGACGGCUUGGUGGAGACCCUUUUGUGGCCCACCCCUCCCAAAGACAAUGACGGCGGCCUCGUUGGACCCCCGGUACACUGAGUUCUUCACGGGACACGUAUCGGACACACGGGUUUACGGGCCACGGUCUGCCUCCCCUUAGGGAGAAUUUUUCUCAAGGUUGACCUCGGAUCAGGUAGGGAUACCCGCUGAACUUAAG